UCCAUUUUUUUUCCCUUCCCUCCAUUUUUUCCCUCCGUUGAUUUUAUAUAUAGAGAAUAUUUGGGCCCUAAAACUACGUCGUUUUGUGGGGAAUUAACAUUGCAUUCUCCACUUUCCCAUUUCAUUUUGCAAAGCCCUAAUCCUUUCAUUUUCCAAUAGCCCUAAUCCUUCAGCCGUUCUCCACUCCCCAUUCCUAUUCCAGACAUCAUCUAGCCGUCAUCUAGCCGGGAAUGCGGAAACAACAAUUCGGAGGAAACAGCCAAAGCAGAUUUUUAAGCAAUUCGGCUUCGAGUGCGUAGGGGAAGAAGUGCCGUCAUCUAGCCGGGAAUACGGAAACAGCCAAAGCAGUAAACAAGAUCCUCCUAAUUUCACUCGAAGGGGAAGAAGUGCUUCGAGUGCGUAGGGGAAGAAGUGCUUCGAGUAGGUUUGAUUUGAGAUCAGGAGGAAAUAAUCGAUCUUAGCUUGGAUUGUUGGAACAAGUUUUGUCUGAUUUCCUUUUUCAGUGUGACCAUUAUAAUUCAGCCUUUGUCCCGGUUUCCUUCGCAUUAGCAAUCAAGAAGGGCAUAACUCGCAUUUGAUUGGCUAAUAUUAUUUGAAGGAUGGAUAAAUAAUAAGUUGACAAUGAAACGAACGGUUAGUGAAGUGGAAAAAGUGAGUGAACAAAAUACCGAAGCUUCAAUUUCAAAAUCAUCCUAACCACCACCGAAGAAGAGACGGGGUCCGACACAAUGCAAGGAUGUCAUAGACGCGAAAACCUUAUUACCUUUAAGGGUUAAUAAGUUUGGACAGCCGAUCGGUCCUGGGAGUGGUACAUAUACUAAUUAUCUGGGAACACUUGCUCGGAAGGGUAAAUUAGCUCAUUUGUGCUACAAAACUUGGUGGGAGAUGCCUAAACGGCUGAAGGGGGAUAUGUGGAACAUUGUAAAGGGAAAAUAUGAUGUGGGAAUCAUGACAAAACAAUGGACAAUAUCCUCCACCGGAAAAAAAUGGAGGGGGUACAAGUGUGAGUUGAAAAAUGAAUACUACUCAGUUAGGGAUACAGAUGAAGAAAGAUUGGCAAACCCACCACCUAAUGUUGAAAAGGAGCAUUGGGAAUUUUUGGUUAGGCAUUGGGGUAUGCCUAUGGCAAAGGAGGUCAGCAAAAAAAAUAAAGAACGUCGUGGGAAGCAGACAAUGAUGCAUAUUACAGGGACAAAAAGCUUUGCACGUGUUUCUGCCGAGAUUGAGGAAGACGAAGGUAUUCAGCUUUCUCGUGUAGAUAUUCAUCCGCACAUAUGUAAAUAAGGAUGACAAAGCUACUGAUGCUGCUGCUUCAGAGAUGAUUGAAAACAUAAGAAAACUUCAAAAAAGUUACUCUGACUCGCCUAUUGGUAGCUUCAAUGAUUUCAUUCUCCAUUGUGAGGGGAGAAAAGAGAACUGGUCGUGUGCGGAUGCUUGGCUUCGGGCCUACACCAAGCGAUGUUUGGGGGCCCUAUCCUAGUAAAGCUGAAUUGAUUAAUAAUGCUAAAAAAUCUCAGGAGGAGGCACGUGCUACACGUGUAGAGUUACAGGAGACGAUUUCUAAAAUGCAAGCCGACUAUGACAACAAGUUAGAAAAUUUACGAGCCAACUACGACGACAAGUUGGAAAAUUUACAACAACAGGAUUCUGAUUCUUUAAAUGCUCCUCCUAGAGUAUCCCCAAAUCCAUUUUCUAGUCGUGAUGCCAAUUCAGUUAAGGGUAAUUCAAAUCAAAUGGGCAAGAAGACUUGUUGAAGUUGAAGUUGAAGUUGAAGUUGAAGAUGGGGUCGUGGUUGUGCUUUUUGAAUUUCCUUCGUCUUGGAUGGGUUCUUUUUGAAAAACUUGUACUACAUUUGUUAAAAAUUCGUAAUUGUUUUUGUGUGACAUUUAGUACCUUUAUCUAGACAAUUUGGAUGGUAUUCAUAUUGGCAGGUUAACUUGUGGUUGUAUUAGUAUACAUUUUUUACUAGCUUAACUUGUAGUGGUAUUAGUAGUCAAUUUUGAUGGUACUUUUCAUAUUGGCAGGUUAACUUGUGGUUGUUUGUAAAAACAAUUUGGAUGGUAUUUUUAUAUUGACUUGUGUUAGGAUGCAUUUAGUAGCCGUGAAGAAAUUUUUUUCCAAAUACAAUAAUGGGAAAAAAAAAAUGUAAAUAAUUUUACCAAUACUUUUUUAAGAAGCGAUGGCAUAGGGAAAAAAAAAUAUUAAAAAAAAAAAAAAAUUCAAAUAACCUUUUACCAACACUUUUCCAAAAAGCACUGACAUAGGGGAAAAAAAAUAUUAAAAAAAAAAAUUUCAAAUGACACUUUACCAGCGCUUUUCCAAAAAGCGUUGAUAAAGACCUUAUGCCAGCGCUUUUGGAGAAGUGCUGGCAUAAGCUCUUUACCAGCGCUUUUUGGAAAAGCGCUAGUAAAAGCCUACCGACACUGGAUUUACCAGCACUUUUGAAG